UACGGAGGGUGCAAGCGUUAUCCGGAUUCACUGGGUUUAAAGGGUGUGUAGGCGGGCUGUUAAGUCAGUGGUGAAAUCCCCGGGCUCAACCUGGGAACUGCCGUUGAUACUAUCAGUCUUGAAUUCUGUUGAGGUGGGCGGAAUACAUCAUGUAGCGGUGAAAUGCUUAGAUAUGAUGUAGAACACCGAUUGCGAAGGCAGCUCACUAAGCAGCGAUUGACGCUGAGGCACGAAAGCGUGGGGAUCAAACAGGAUUAGAUACCCUGGUAGUCCACGCCCUAAACGAUGAUUACUCGACGUGCGCGAUACACUGUGCGCGUCUGAGCGAAAGCAUUAAGUAAUCCACCUGGGAAGUACGACCGCAAGGUUGAA
rnacentral:rRNA from 1 species